UACAGAGGUCUCAAGCGUUGUUCGGAUUCAUUGGGCGUAAAGGGUGCGUAGGCGGCGCGGUAAGUCGGGUGUGAAAUCUCGGGGCUCAACCUCGGGUCUGCAGUCGAUACGAGCAAACUAGAGUGUUGCAGGGGAGACUGGAAUUCCUGGUGUAGCGGUGAAAUGCGCAGAUAUCAGGAGGAACACCGGUGGCGAAGGCGGGUCUCUGGGCCGAUACUGACGUGGAGGAGCGAAAGCGUGGGGAGCGAACAGG
rnacentral:rRNA from 1 species